rnacentral:tRNA from 1 species
GGCGCCAUAGCAUAGUCUGGCUAAUGCGUCGCUCUCAUGCGGCGAAGAUCCCCGGUUCAAAUCCGGGUGGCGCCA